UGGAGAGGCAGGGCACAUGCU
rnacentral:miRNA from 1 species